rnacentral:lncRNA from 1 species
UCUAAACGAAACCAAACCCAAUGAAACAACGCGAAAGCACGCACGAUCGAUAUUCUUCUGCUCUCGAAAAAUCAAUUCAGUAAUUAUGACAAACCCAAUAACACAAUAUAUAUAACAAUUUGUGCAAAUCAACCACAAUAUCGCAAGCAAAACUAAUAAAUCGAGAAACAACUUUUACGUGGAAAACCCUUUUAAAGCAAAGAGAAAAAACCACAAGAUUAGAAAGUCCUUUCUACAAGAUCACAAUCAAGCCAUCAUAAAGAAUAUACAAUUCAAACAAUGCUAUAAACAAAUAAUUUUAAACAAACUUUAAGAGAAAAGUUGAGAAUUUCACCAAAAAGAGGUUGACUUUAAAAGCUAAAAAUUCAAAGUUACAGUACCCAAAAAGAAAUUAAUCUGUACACAUUAAAAAAAAAGCUCCAACGAACAUCGAAUCAACCUUCGAUAAAAGAAAAUACAAAGGUUGAUUUGUGUAUAAAGAACAAUUUUUUCUCUCCCACUUCUCUUUUCUUAGAUUUUAUCGG